rnacentral:rRNA from 1 species
UACGAAGGGGGCUAGCGUUGCUCGGAAUCACUGGGCGUAAAGGGUGCGUAGGCGGGUCUUUAAGUCAGAGGUGAAAUCCCAAGGCUCAACCUUGGAACUGCCUUUGAUACUGGGGAUCUUGAGUCCGGGAGAGGUGAGUGGAAUUCCGAGUGUAGAGGGUGAAAUUCGUAGAUAUUCGGAAGAACACCAGUGGCGAAGGCGGCUCACUGGACCGGUAUUGACGCUGAGGUGCGAAAGCGUGGGGAGCAAACAGG